rnacentral:rRNA from 1 species
UCAAGCAAAGAAGAGCGCAGGGUGGAUGCCUUGGCACUGGGAGCCGAUGAAAGACGUGAUAAGCUGCGAAAAGCUUCGGGGAGGAGCAAAUAUCCAUUGAUCCGGAGAUAUCUGAAUGGGGAAACCCAACAGAGCAAACCUCUGUUAUCCAUACGCCAAUCCAUAACGUAUGGAGGGGAACCCGGGGAACUGAAACAUCUAAGUACCCGGAGGAAGAGAAAGAAACAUCGAUUCCUUUAGUAGCGGCGAGCGAACGAGGAAGAGCCCAAACCGGAGUGCGUGCACUCCGGGGUUCGGACCGCAUAAAUGAUUCACAAGUCUUAGCAGAAUGGUUUUGGGAAAGCCAGCCGGAGAGGGUGAAAGCCCCGUAAGCGAAAGGACGAGUGACAUGGCGGGAUCCAGAGUACUACGAGACACGUGGAACCUUGUAGGAAGGAGCGGGGACCACCCCGUAAGGCUAAAUACUACCCAGUGACCGAUAGAGCAUAGUACUGUGAAGGAAAGGUGAAAAGGACCCCGGGAGGGGAGUGAAAGAGAACCUGAAACCCUGUGUUUACAAACUGUGGAAGUGCUUUAGAUGCACGACCGCGUACUUUUUGUAGAACGGUCCAGCGAGUUGCGCUGGCUGGCGAGGUUAAGGACUAAAGGUCCGGAGCCGGAGGGAAACCAAGUCUUAAUAGGGCGAAAGUCAGUCUGCGCAGACCCGAAACCGGGUGAUCUAUCCAUGUCCAGGCUGAAGCUGCCGUAAGAGGUAGUGGAGGGCCGAACCCACAUCCGUUGAAAAGGGUGGGGAUGAGGUGUGGAUAGGGGAGAAAUUCCAAUCGAACCCGGAGAUAGCUGGUUCUCCUCGAAAUAGCUUUAGGGCUAGCCUCGUACGAGUCUAAUGGAGGUAGAGCACUGAAUUUCCUAGGGGGCGUCAAAGCUUACCGAAGAAUAUCAAACUCCGAAUGCCAUAUAGAUGCUGUACGGGAGUCAGACUACACGAGAUAAGUUGGGUGGUCAAAAGGGAAAGAGCCCAGACCUGCAGCUAAGGUCCCAGAGUGCGCAUUAAGUGGAAAAGGAUGUGGGAUUUCAAAGACAACCAGGAUGUUGGCUCAGAAGCAGCCACACAUUCAAAGAGUGCGUAAUAGCUCACUGGUCGAGAGGUCCUGCGCCGAAAAUGUCCGGGGCUGAAAUGCGCCACCGAAGCUCAGGAAUGAGAGAUCAUUGGUAGAGGAGCAUUCCCGCAUGAAGAAGCCGUACCGUAAGGAGCGGUGGAGUAGCGGGAAGAGAGAAUGCUGGAAUGAGUAGCGAGAGGAAGGUGGGAAUCCUUCCGGCCGAAUAUCCAAGGUUUCCGGAGUAAAGCUGAUCUGCUCCGGGUAAGUCGGGGCCUAAGGCGAGGGCGAAAGCCGUAGCCGAUGGACAACAGGUUGAGAUUCCUGUACUGCAGCAUAACAGAACUGUGGGGACACGUGUGGAAAGCGCGGGCGCGGAAUGGAAAGUCGCGUGCAAGCGGGGUACCGGUCUGGCAGGCAAAACCGCCAGGCAACGGGAAUCCGUGAUGCGGACCGAAACAUAGUAGGGAAGCGCGUGAGCCAUGCGUCAAGAAAAGCCGCUAUUGUUUAUGUUGUACCCGUACCGUAAACCGACACAGGUGGAUGAGGAGAGAAUCCUAAGGCCGACGGAAGAAGCAUUGUUAAGGAACUCGGCAAAACAGCCCCGUAACUUCGGGAGAAGGGGUGCCUGGAAACAGGCCGCAGAGAAUUGGUCCAAGCAACUGUUUAGCAAAAACACAGGUCUAUGCAAAACCGCAAGGUGAAGUAUAUGGGCUGACGCCUGCCCGGUGCUGGAAGGUUAAGAGGAGAGCUUAGCGCAAGCGAAGGUUUGAAUUUAAGCCCCAGUAAACGGCGGCCGUAACUAUAACGGUCCUAAGGUAGCGAAAUUCCUUGUCGGGUAAGUUCCGACCCGCACGAAAGGCGUAAUGAUUUGGGCGCUGUCUCGACAAUGCAUCC